UCACUGAUUGAACAGAACAACGCUAAAUAACUACAAUGUAUUUUGGGAUAAGGCCAAUUGGGUUGCAAUCAGAUUAGUUCAAAUUAUGUGUUCAUUUGAAUUUAUUCCAAAUGGAAGUGAUAGCCUUAAUGUAUUGGUAUGUAAUAAACUAAAUUAGCCAGUGAUAUCAGAUGUUACGUAUCUCAGACAAUGACAUUCUUGGAGACUACUUAAAUUCUUGUGGACUUGUGCAUGAAUAUGGUUAGUUUUAGCAUAAACCAUCAAAAACGUAUUGAUCUGUUCCUAAUAUAAGAAAUAUUUGUAUUUCUCUCAUGUACCUAAUCUCAUGAUCUAAGUGUACUUACCUAGUGUUUUAUAUCUGUCUCUUAAGUGAAGCUAAUGGACACAUUCUUGCACUGUGUUUUCUCUAGUUACCCAUUAGGGUUACUAUUUUUGAAGUACAUAUGUUGGGCAUAGAAAAUAGAGUUGCUUGAGCAAAAGAUUGUGAAAGCAGGAUGGUUCACAACAGCUCAGUCUUACUACAGAGACAGAUAACAGAACAGCGUAACCCACAGGCCUGCUGAUUACAGCGGAGCCUGUCAGCAUUGUUCUACUGUACAUGGGCUGAAAAGAAAAUGUCCCUGAAGUGUGAAAGUCACUUGUAAUACAGUAUAUUUUGAAGGUGAGUUCCUCACUAUGCUCUAUGAAUCCCUAGUGGUCCAAGCCCUGUUUGACUACUUGCACUUUUUUACCUUGGAUCUACCUUUUCAACUGCACUGAUAUGAGCAGUUACUGUGUUGGUGUCAUUUAUGAUAUAUUUAUGUUUUACAAACCAAACCAAAUGCCUUGUGGUUUUACUGUGAUGAGUUUCAGUGGCAUCAAUACCAAGAUUGACCUAAUGUAGAGAGCACGUGUGCAUCUCUGCUUCCUCAAAGACCACUUCAAUGGUACAGUUUAAUUACAUGGCAUUCCUAUGUGAUGUUUUCUAUUUGACUUUUUUGUGAUAUUCGUAAAUAGAAUCUUUAAAUAAAGUGGACUACCUGAAAA